rnacentral:tRNA from 1 species
AGCCCCGAGGUGUUUACAUAGCAGAUUGCAAAUCUGAAGUGGGAGACUAGCGUUUCCCGGGGCUU